GGGCGCAUAGCGCAGUGGUAGCGCGUCCGCUGGAAGGCCCCGGGUUCAAUCCCCGGUGUGUCCA
rfam:Phytophthora infestans T30-4 supercont1.25 genomic scaffold, whole genome shotgun sequence.